rnacentral:lncRNA from 1 species
GAGCAGGGAGAAAGCAGAAAAACCAGCUUUGAACUCUGCGUGCAAGGCCUCCUGAGCCUCAGGCCCCGUAAGAAUCCCAGCUCUUGGAGGAUGGCACCGGGGCCACAAGCACCAUCAGAGAGUGUGAAUGACCCGAGAGCAACCAGAUAGAGGGAGCGUAUGCUCACCCGUCCUCCAUGAUUCUGCCGUUUCCCAAACUGGUUCCCCCAAUCCAGUGGUAGCUUAGACCAACCUGUCCUGUGCCCUCUGCCUCUCAGCUC